GUUAUAUGGUCAAGUGAAGAAGCGCAUACGGUGGAUGCCUUGGCAGUCAGAGGCGAUGAAAGACGUGGUAGCCUGCGAUAAGCUUCGGGGAGUCGGCAAACAGACUUUGAUCCGGAGAUCUCUGAAUGGGGGAACCCACUCAGCAUAAGCUGAGUAUCUUGUACUGAAUACAUAGGUGCAAGAGGCGAACCAGGGGAACUGAAACAUCUAAGUACCCUGAGGAAAAGAAAUCAACCGAGAUUCCCUUAGUAGUGGCGAGCGAACGGGGACUAGCCCUUAAGUGGCUUUGAGAUUAGCGGAACGCUCUGGAAAGUGCGGCCAUAGUGGGUGAUAGCCCUGUACGCGAAAAUCUCUUAGUCAUGAAAUCGAGUAGGACGGAGCACGAGAAACUUUGUCUGAAUAUGGGGGGACCAUCCUCCAAGGCUAAAUACUACUGACUGACCGAUAGUGAACCAGUACCGUGAGGGAAAGGCGAAAAGAACCCCGGAGAGGGGAGUGAAAUAGAUCCUGAAACCGUAUGCGUACAAGCAGUGGGAGCCUACUUGUUAGGUGACUGCGUACCUUUUGUAUAAUGGGUCAGCGACUUAUAUUCAGUGGCGAGCUUAACCGAAUAGGGGAGGCGUAGCGAAAGCGAGUCUUAAUAGGGCGUUUAGUCGCUGGGUAUAGACCCGAAACCGGGCGAUCUAUCCAUGGGCAGGUUGAAGGUUAGGUAACACUGACUGGAGGACCGAACCGACUACCGUUGAAAAGUUAGCGGAUGACCUGUGGAUCGGAGUGAAAGGCUAAUCAAGCUCGGAGAUAGCUGGUUCUCCUCGAAAGCUAUUUAGGUAGCGCCUCAUGUAUCACUGUAGGGGGUAGAGCACUGUUUCGGCUAGGGGGUCAUCCCGACUUACCAAACCGAUGCAAACUCCGAAUACCUACAAGUGCCGAGCAUGGGAGACACACGGCGGGUGCUAACGUCCGUCGUGAAAAGGGAAACAACCCAGACCGUCAGCUAAGGUCCCAAAGUUAUGGUUAAGUGGGAAACGAUGUGGGAAGGCUUAGACAGCUAGGAGGUUGGCUUAGAAGCAGCCACCCUUUAAAGAAAGCGUAAUAGCUCACUAGUCGAGUCGGCCUGCGCGGAAGAUGUAACGGGGCUCAAACCAUACACCGAAGCUACGGGUAUCACUUAGGUGAUGCGGUAGAGGAGCGUUCUGUAAGCCUGUGAAGGUGAGUUGAGAAGCUUGCUGGAGGUAUCAGAAGUGCGAAUGCUGACAUGAGUAACGACAAUGGGAGUGAAAAACUCCCACGCCGAAAGACCAAGGUUUCCUGCGCAACGUUAAUCGACGCAGGGUUAGUCGGUCCCUAAGGCGAGGCUGAAAAGCGUAGUCGAUGGAAAACAGGUUAAUAUUCCUGUACUUCUGGUUAUUGCGAUGGAGGGACGGAGAAGGCUAGGCCAGCUUGGCGUUGGUUGUCCAAGUUUAAGGUGGUAGGCUGAGAUCUUAGGUAAAUCCGGGAUCUUAAGGCCGAGAGCUGAUGACGAGUUGCCUUUAGGCGACGAAGUGGUUGAUGCCAUGCUUCCAAGAAAAGCUUCUAAGCUUCAGAUAACCAGGAACCGUACCCCAAACCGACACAGGUGGUUGGGUAGAGAAUACCAAGGCGCUUGAGAGAACUCGGGUGAAGGAACUAGGCAAAAUGGCACCGUAACUUCGGGAGAAGGUGCGCCGGUGAGGGUGAAGGACUUGCUCCGUAAGCCCAUGCCGGUCGAAGAUACCAGGCCGCUGCGACUGUUUAUUAAAAACACAGCACUCUGCAAACACGAAAGUGGACGUAUAGGGUGUGACGCCUGCCCGGUGCCGGAAGGUUAAUUGAUGGGGUUAGCUAACGCGAAGCUCUUGAUCGAAGCCCCGGUAAACGGCGGCCGUAACUAUAACGGUCCUAAGGUAGCGAAAUUCCUUGUCGGGUAAGUUCCGACCUGCACGAAUGGCGUAACGAUGGCGGCGCUGUCUCCACCCGAGACUCAGUGAAAUUGAAAUCGCUGUGAAGAUGCAGUGUAUCCGCGGCUAGACGGAAAGACCCCGUGAACCUUUACUAUAGCUUUGCACUGGACUUUGAAUUUGCUUGUGUAGGAUAGGUGGGAGGCUUUGAAGCGUGGACGCCAGUUCGCGUGGAGCCAUCCUUGAAAUACCACCCUGGCAACUUUGAGGUUCUAACUCAGGUCCGUUAUCCGGAUCGAGGACAGUGUAUGGUGGGUAGUUUGACUGGGGCGGUCUCCUCCUAAAGAGUAACGGAGGAGUACGAAGGUGCGCUCAGACCGGUCGGAAAUCGGUCGUAGAGUAUAAAGGCAAAAGCGCGCUUGACUGCGAGACAGACACGUCGAGCAGGUACGAAAGUAGGUCUUAGUGAUCCGGUGGUUCUGUAUGGAAGGGCCAUCGCUCAACGGAUAAAAGGUACUCCGGGGAUAACAGGCUGAUACCGCCCAAGAGUUCAUAUCGACGGCGGUGUUUGGCACCUCGAUGUCGGCUCAUCACAUCCUGGGGCUGAAGCCGGUCCCAAGGGUAUGGCUGUUCGCCAUUUAAAGUGGUACGCGAGCUGGGUUUAGAACGUCGUGAGACAGUUCGGUCCCUAUCUGCCGUGGACGUUUGAGAUUUGAGAGGGGCUGCUCCUAGUACGAGAGGACCGGAGUGGACGAACCUCUGGUGUUCCGGUUGUCACGCCAGUGGCAUUGCCGGGUAGCUAUGUUCGGAAGAGAUAACCGCUGAAAGCAUCUAAGCGGGAAACUUGCCUCAAGAUGAGAUCUCACUGGAGCCUUGAGCUCCCUGAAGGGCCGUCGAAGACUACGACGUUGAUAGGUUGGGUGUGUAAGCGCUGUGAGGCGUUGAGCUAACCAAUACUAAUUGCCCGUGAGGCUUGACCAUAUAACACCCAAGCAAUU
rnacentral:rRNA from 1 species